rnacentral:rRNA from 1 species
AAUCAACGCUGGCGGCGUGCCUCAGACAUGCAAGUCGAACGCGAAAGUUCCCUUCGGGGAGCGAGUAGAGUGGCGCACGGGUGAGUAACACGUGGAUAAUUUACCUUCGGGUGGGGAAUAACAACCGGAAACGGUUAGCUAAUACCGCAUAAUGCAGCGGCAUCUAUGAUGACAGUUGUUAAAGCGGGGGAUCGCAAGACCUCGCGCCUGAAGAGAAGUCCGCGGCAGAUUAGCUAGUUGGUAGGGUAAUGGCCUACCAAGGCGACGAUCUGUAGCCGGCCUGAGAGGGCGGUCGGCCACACUGACACUGACAUACGGGUCAGACUCCUACGGGAGGCAGCAGUCGGGAAUUUUGGGCAAUGGGCGAAAGCCUGACCAGCAACGCGCGUGAAGGAUGAAGCAUUUCGGUGU